rnacentral:rRNA from 1 species
GAGUUUGAUCCUGGCUCAGAUUGAACGCUGGCGGCAUGCCUUACACAUGCAAGUCGAACGGCAGCACGGGUGCUUGCACCUGGUGGCGAGUGGCGAACGGGUGAGUAAUACAUCGGAACAUGUCCUGUAGUGGGGGAUAGCCCGGCGAAAGCCGGAUUAAUACCGCAUACGAUCUGAGGAUGAAAGCGGGGGACCUUCGGGCCUCGCGCUAUAGGGUUGGCCGAUGGCUGAUUAGCUAGUUGGUGGGGUAAAGGCCUACCAAGGCGACGAUCAGUAGCUGGUCUGAGAGGACGACCAGCCACACUGGGACUGAGACACGGCCCAGACUCCUACGGGAGGCAGCAGUGGGGAAUUUUGGACAAUGGGCGAAAGCCUGAUCCAGCAAUGCCGCGUGUGUGAAGAAGGCCUUCGGGUUGUAAAGCACUUUUGUCCGGAAAGAAAUCCUUGGUUCUAAUAUAGCCGGGGGAUGACGGUACCGGAAGAAUAAGCACCGGCUAACUACGUGCCAGCAGCCGCGGUAAUACGUAGGGUGCAAGCGUUAAUCGGAAUUACUGGGCGUAAAGCGUGCGCAGGCGGUUUGCUAAGACCGAUGUGAAAUCCCCGGGCUCAACCUGGGAACUGCAUUGGUGACUGGCAGGCUAGAGUAUGGCAGANGGGGGGUAGAAUUCCACGUGUAGCAGUGAAAUGCGUAGAGAUGUGGANGAAUACCGAUGGCGA